rnacentral:tRNA from 1 species
CCCUGUGUGGUGCAGCAAUUAACACAUUCAGCUGCUAACUGACAGGGUGGAGGUUUAAGUCCACCCAGAGGUG